AGCGCUCAGCAGGGGCGUCUCUUAUUCCGGGAGGCUGAGAAGUACCCUAAAACCUGAUCCCGAUCAUGCGGGCGGAGGGAGCUUCCAAUGAUUUUAC
rnacentral:ncRNA from 1 species